UUUUGGAUGCGUGCUGUGCCGUAAGAGGGCCGAUCUUCUCGCGGCUAAGCAGGAUGCAAUGGAGGCUGCAGGGGUUGCUCUUGUUUUAAUCGGACCAGGUACUGUUGAACAGGCAAAGGCAUUUUAUGACCAAACCAAAUUCAAAGGAGAAGUAUACGCUGAUCCAAGUCACUCAUCAUAUAAUGCCCUUGAAUUUGCAUUUGGGCUGUUCUCAACGUUUACUCCAUCGGCCGG
rnacentral:misc_RNA from 1 species